GGGGGGGGAGGCUCAAACAGGAAAGGAUUAUCUGGAAUCCGUUGGGACAAGAGCAGUAAAAUGUGUUUUGUUUCUGAAGUGAAAAUUGGGAACUGGCAAGAGACUAGGAGGAUGGUUUGUUUCUUGCCCAAUAGUGGCGAAGGAGAAUUCACAUACUGGGAAGUGUGGCUGCAAUUGCUGUUGUUCCCAAGCUGCUGUCUGUGAAGAGAUUUUGACGUCUUGAACUGCCAAUGUAUCAGCCCUUAUCAAUUAAAGUAAUAUAUAAGGUAUAUGCCUAAUAAGUCACAAGGCCACUGAAGAAGACUCUUUGUCAAAAUGGAUUUGGCUGCACUCUGUUGUUGUAUCUCAUCUUGCAUAAGCAUUGAUUUAUUACUUCUGCAGAAUUUUAUGACUGUAUUUUGUUUUUUAUAUGGGCAUUGAUUCAAUACCACUUCUAGAAUUCCAGUAGUGAUUUUAUGUUGGUUUAAUAAUA